AUUAUACAGCGAAACUGCGAAUGGCUCAUUAUAUAAGUUAUCGUUUAUUUGAUAGUACCUUACUACUUGGAUAACCGUGGUAAUUCUAGAGCUAAUACAUGCUAAAAAUCCCGACUUCGGAAGGGAUGUAUUUAUUAGAUUAAAAACCAAUGCCCUUCGGGGCUCCUUGGUGAUUCAUGAUAACUUCUCGAAUCGCAUGGCCUUGCGCCGGCGAUGGUUCAUUCAAAUUUCUUCCCUAUCAACUUUCGAUGUUUGGGUAUUGGCCAAACAUGGUUGCAACGGGUAACGGAGGGUUAGGGCUCGACCCCGGAGAAGGAGCCUGAGAAACGGCUACUACAUCCAAGGAAGGCAGCAGGCGCGCAAAUUACCCAAUCCCGACACGGGGAGGUAGUGACAAUAAAUACUGAUACAGGGCUCUUUUGGGUCUUGUAAUUGGAAUGAGUACAAUUUAAAUCCCUUAACGAGGAACAAUUGGAGGGCAAGUCUGGUGCCAGCAGCCGCGGUAAUUCCAGCUCCAAUAGCGUAUAUUAAAGUUGUUGUGGUUAAAAAGCUCGUAGUUGAACCUUGGGCCUGGCUGGCCGGUCCGCCUCACCGCGUGUACUGGUCCGGCCGGGCCUUUCCCUCUGUGGAACCCCAUGCCCUUCACUGGGUGUGGCGGGGAAACAGGACUUUUACUUUGAAAAAAUUAGAGUGCUCCAGGCAGGCCUAUGCUCGAAUACAUUAGCAUGGAAUAAUAGAAUAGGACGUGUGGUUCUAUUUUGUUGGUUUCUAGGACCGCCGUAAUGAUUAAUAGGGACAGUCGGGGGCAUCAGUAUUCCGUUGUCAGAGGUGAAAUUCUUGGAUUUACGGAAGACUAACUACUGCGAAAGCAUUUGCCAAGGAUGUUUUCAUUAAUCAGGAACGAAAGUUAGGGGAUCGAAGACGAUCAGAUACCGUCGUAGUCUUAACCAUAAACUAUGCCGACUAGGGAUCGGACGAUGUUAUUUUUUGACUCGUUCGGCACCUUACGAGAAAUCAAAGUGCUGGC
rnacentral:rRNA from 1 species